UGUAACCAAGGUGCGACCUAACGUGAGUGGCAUUGCUAGUACCCUGAGGCGUUGGGCCUAGGGAUUUUCCUAGACCAAAAAUAAGUGAUUUAAUUUGAUUGUUUUGAUUGUUGUUGUUUACUAUCAAGAAAACGUGACAUAAUUAUCAACAAUGAUGUGGAGGAAAAUAAUUAAGGUCGUGACUAAUGUGAUGAGAUUGAUAUUUAAUUAAAAUUUAUUUAGCAGUAUGAUUUAGUUGAUGAUGAUGAGGUUGGUGGAAGAAAUGAUACCAACGACGAUGACUUACCUACUGGAACAACGUGUAUCUUGAUAAAGUGAUUUUUAGCAUGAGUGUUUGAAUAACGUAGCUCGUUGUUGCGGAGCGUAUGAAGAAUAAUACGACCAUGUUGAACCAAACGUUGAGCAAGGAAUC